rnacentral:rRNA from 1 species
CGUAGGGAAACCGAGUCUUAAUUGGGCGUUAAGUUGCAGGGUAUAGACCCGAAACCCGGUGAUCUAGCCAUGGGCAGGUUGAAGGUUGGGUAACACUAACUGGAGGACCGAACCGACUAAUGUUGAAAAAUUAGCGGAUGACCUGUGGCUGGGGGUGAAAGGCCAAUCAAACCGGGAGAUAGCUGGUUCUCCCCGAAAGCUAUUUAGG